AGAGUUUGAUCCUGGCUCAGGAUGAACGCUAGCUACAGGCUUAACACAUGCAAGUCGAGGGGCAGCAUUUUAGUUUGCUUGCAAACUGAAGAUGGCGACCGGCGCACGGGUGAGUAACACGUAUCCAACCUGCCGAUAACUCCGGGAUAGCCUUUCGAAAGAAAGAUUAAUACCGGAUAGCAUACGAAUAUCGCAUGAUAUUUUUAUUAAAGAAUUUCGGUUAUCGAUGGGGAUGCGUUCCAUUAGUUUGUUGGCGGGGUAACGGCCCACCAAGACUACGAUGGAUAGGGGUUCUGAGAGGAAGGUCCCCCACAUUGGAACUGAGACACGGUCCAAACUCCUACGGGAGGCAGCAGUGAGGAAUAUUGGUCAAUGGGCGAGAGCCUGAACCAGCCAAGUAGCGUGAAGGAUGAAGGCUCUAUGGGUCGUAAACUUCUUUUAUAUGGGAAUAAAGUAUUCCACGUGUGGAAUUUUGUAUGUACCAUAUGAAUAAGGAUCGGCUAACUCCGUGCCAGCAGCCGCGGUAAUACGGAGGAUCCGAGCGUUAUCCGGAUUUAUUGGGUUUAAAGGGAGCGUAGGUGGAUUGUUAAGUCAGUUGUGAAAGUUUGCGGCUCAACCGUAAAAUUGCAGUUGAAACUGGGAGUCUUGAGUACAGUAGAGGUGGGCGGAAUUCGUGGUGUAGCGGUGAAAUGCUUAGAUAUCACGAAGAACUCCGAUUGCGAAGGCAGCUCACUAGACUGUCACUGACACUGAUGCUCGAAAGUGUGGGUAUCAAACAGGAUUAGAUACCCUGGUAGUCCACACAGUAAACGAUGAAUACUCGCUGUUUGCGAUAUACAGUAAGCGGCCAAGCGAAAGCAUUAAGUAUUCCACCUGGGGAGUACGCCGGCAACGGUGAAACUCAAAGGAAUUGACGGGGGCCCGCACAAGCGGAGGAACAUGUGGUUUAAUUCGAUGAUACGCGAGGAACCUUACCCGGGCUUAAAUUGCAACAGAAUAU
rnacentral:rRNA from 1 species